rnacentral:tRNA from 2 species
GGCCCCUUAGCUCAGCCGGAUAGAGCGACAGAUUCCUAAUCUGUAGGUCGCAGGUUCGAGUCCUGCAGGGGUCGCCA